CUAUGCGCCUUGCCAGCCCGCUCAGUCAGAGUUUGAUCCUGGCUCAGAUUGAACGCUGGCGGCAGGCCUAACACAUGCAAGUCGAACGGCACCUAUCUUCGGAUAGAAGCGAGUGGCGAACGGCUGAGUAACACGUGGAGAACCUGCCCCUCCCCCGGGAUAGCCGCCCGAAAGGACGGGUAAUACCGGAUACCCCGGGGUGCCGCAUGGCACCCCGGCUAAAGCCCCGACGGGAGGGGAUGGCUCCGCGGCCCAUCAGGUAGACGCGGGUGACGGCCCACCGUGCCGACAACGGGUAGCCGGGUCGAGAGACCGACCGGCCAGAUUGGGACUGAGACACGGCCCAG
rnacentral:rRNA from 1 species